UUUGUGAAGGAAGUGGCCAACCGGCCACUUCUUUCAAUGAAAAAAAAAAAAUAAAAAAUUGCUGUGGCCGACAGGCCACAGCUUUCUCCCUUUUUUUAAUAGGAAAAGGAGUGGCCGGAGGCCACUCCUUCCCAUUAAAAACCAAGAAGCGGCCGACCGGCCACUUCUUUCCGUACGAAUUUAACAUUACUAAGCUGGGAUUUUCUGUUAAUCUGGGAUUAACUUAAGCCUCUCGUUCGGUUAUAAAAACCGAACGAGGCUCACUUCUUUCCCAAACAAUUUGAGGUUGAGACUUGAGAGGUUCUAGUUAAGGUGCGGAGACGGAAAGAUUUGAGAGAUAGCGAGGAGGAGGUCCUGCCCAAAAAAUCCAGCGGAGACUAUUUAAGGAGGAAGUGGAGCUCAAGUAUACAGAUCCGAUUUACGGGUCCUUCACCGCUGAUGACGAUGAUCCACUACUCGGCUGGCUUGUAGGCCAGCAGCAGGAGCCCGAGCUUGACGAGCCAGGAUCGCCUCCACGACCAGCUACCUUCAUAGCCACCGAAGCUGGGGUCGAUCCAGAGCAAUGGGCUGAGCGCAAUAUUCCACGCACUCCCAGAGCUGAUCAGCCGCAGGCACAGGGGAGCCAGACAGAGAGGGCCAGGAAAGGAAAACAAAGAAUCCCAAUGGAGAGUGUCGAGGAAGAGACUUGGACUAGUAGCGAUGAAGGUUCUGGUGGUGAUGGAUCUUCUAGCCAUGGAGGGAGCGGAGGACAGUAUGGUACUCAUGAGACACAGCCGGAGGGUGGUCUUUAUUUCACCGGUGAGUCCCAAUUUAUGGGUGCUACACAGGAUACGGACCACGGUCGACCACCUGAUAGAGAUCGUGAGGAUAUUAUUGGAUAUAGAAGACGGGCUCCUCGAGGUCGUUCAGGAAGACAGGAUACGACUGCAGAUCCGAGGACAUACGGAUACGGAUUCUAUUAUCCACAGCCUCAGCCUGACGAAUACGGAUAUGGUGCAUUGGAUUUUGCUUCCGCCAUAUUUGGAUGGGCCCCUACACAAUCAGAGGACACCUCUCAGAGCCAGAGCGUGAGCGAGAGAUCCGACAGUUCUUAUAACCUGGCGCGUGUUCCUUCUGAUUGGGUUGAUUUGCCUCCUCCUGAUUAUACUUAUGAUCCAGAUAUCUACGAGAGCCAUCGGCACUCGUCCCGAUUUUAGAUAUCCUAGAGUACUUUAAAUGUAUGUAAAUGAUUGUAUCUUAAUUCGAAGAUAUUUUAUGUGUAUGAUUUUAUCAUUUCGAACGGGAGGAAAACGUAACAUGCAAUCAUGCAUCAUAUAUGUUUCAAAUUUCAACCCUAAAUUUAAAUAUGAAAAUAU